GGUCAGUUAGCUCAGUUGGUAGAGCGUGGUGCUAAUAGUAUAUUUAUAUCUGUUACGCUAAGGUCGCGGGUUCGAGCCCCGUACCGACCA